GGUAGUGUGUUAAAGCAGGAGAAUCAAGGGAUCCUUACCUACUACAUUCCCAGCAAGGACAACACCUGGGGAAAGGUGUUUGGUAUUUUGGAAGAUGCUAAAGAGCAAUUCAAUUUAGAAGACUAUUCCAUCGGUCAGAUAACGCUAGAACAAAUCUUCCUGGCCUUUGCUAACCCAGAGAACACAGAAGAGAGAAAGAAGAAGAAAUGAAGUGGAGAGGGAGACAGAGAGCUCUUCCGCAGAUCUUGUCUGGGCACAUGGAGUACACCAUAAGCCACAUGAGAAAUCUAAUCACUCUCAAGAUUCAUGGGCAGAUGCGCAGACAAGUAGGGAUGACUGUUGUCCACUUGCAAGACAGAAAGCGUCCAUGAAGCUACUCUAUUUUGAGAUGGUUUGUUCAAGGUUUUUAUAGCCUCAGUUGGGUUUUGUGAGUAAUAAAAUGA